GACGAACGCUGGCGGCGUGCCUAAUACAUGCAAGUCGAACGCUUCUUUCCUCCCGAGUGCUUGCACUCAAUUGGAAAGAGGAGUGGCGGACGGGUGAGUAACACGUGGGUAACCUACCCAUCAGAGGGGGAUAACACUUGGAAACAGGUGCUAAUACCGCAUAACAGUUUAUGCCGCAUGGCAUAAGAGUGAAAGGCGCUUUCGGGUGUCGCUGAUGGGUGGACCCGCGGUGCAUUAGCUAGUUGGUGAGGUAACGGCUCACCAAGGCCACGAUGCAUAGCCGACCUGAGAGGGUGAUCGGCCACACUGGGACUGAGACACGGCCCAGACUCCUACGGGAGGCAGCAGUAGGGAAUCUUCGGCAAUGGACGAAAGUCUGACCGAGCAACGCCGCGUGAGUGAAGAAGGUUUUCGGAUCGUAAAACUCUGUUGUUAGAGAAGAACAAGGACGUUAGUAACUGAACGUCCCCUGACGGUAUCUAACCAGAAAGCCACGGCUAACUACGUG
rnacentral:rRNA from 1 species